GAACGAUAUCCGGAGUGUAGCAAUAUAUUCCGGUGACAGUGGCGGAAGGGUGAGUAACGCAUGGGUAACCUGCCCUGAAGUUGGGGAUAACUCGCCGAAAGGUGGGCUAAUACCGAAUGUGGUCGUCCCGCGCAUGCGGGAUCAUCCAAAGCCGGGGACCGCAAGGACCUGGCGCUUCAGGAUGGACCCGUGUCCUAUCAGCUAGUUGGUGAGGUAACGGCUCACCAAGGCUGCGACGGGUAGCUGGUCUGAGAGGAUGGUCAGCCACACUGGGACUGAGACACUGCCCAGACUCCUACGGGAGGCUGCAGUCGAGGAUCA
rnacentral:rRNA from 1 species